GCCAGCAGCCAUAUCACCCUGCAACUCACAACUGGCAACCCACUGAAGCUAAGCAGGUGUGAGCCUGGUCAGUACCUGGAUGGGAGACCUCCUGGGAAAAACUAAAGUUGCAUCUGGAA
rnacentral:rRNA from 1 species